rnacentral:rRNA from 1 species
UUUUGCCUUUGUUCAAAAUAAGGUUUUCUAAUAAAUUAUGUUUUUAUCAGAUAUGACAGAAUCUUUUUUAAAAUCUCUUCAAUAUGCUUUUAUUGCUUUUGAGAGGUUUUGUUACUUUGAGUAAAAUUAAGUGUUCAUAACAGACGGGUAGUCAUGAUUGAGUUCAUUGUGU